GCUCGCGUAGCUCAGUUGGAUAGAGUGCUUCCCUCCGAAGGAAGAAGUCGCAGGUUCAAAUCCCGCCGCGAGUA
rnacentral:tRNA from 1 species